UUCCCCUAGUAACUGCGAGUGAAGCGGGAAAAGCUCAAAUUUAAAAUCUGGUAGUCUUUGGCUGCCCGAGUUGUAAUCUAGAGAAGCGUUAUCCGCGCUGGACCGUGUAUAAGUCUCCUGGAAUGGAGCGUCAUAGAGGGUGAGAAUCCCGUCUUUGACACGGACUACCAGGGCUUUGUGAUGCGCUCUCAAAGAGUCGAGUUGUUUGGGAAUGCAGCUCUAAAUGGGUGGUAAAUUCCAUCUAAAGCUAAAUAUUGGCGAGAGACCGAUAGCGAACAAGUACCGUGAGGGAAAGAUGAAAAGAACUUUGGAAAGAGAGUUAAACAGUACGUGAAAUUGUUGAAAGGGAAACGCUUGAAGUCAGUCGCGUUGUCCAGGGAUCAACCUUGCUUUUGCUGGGCGUACUUCCUGGUUAACGGGUCAGCAUCAGUUUUGACCAGUGGAAAAAGAUCAGGGGAAUGUGGCAUCUUCGGAUGUGUUAUAGCCUCUGGUCGUAUACAUUGGUUGGGAUUGAGGAACUCAGCACGCCGCAAGGCCGGGUUUUUACCACGUUCGUGCUUAGGAUGCUGGCAUAAUGGCUUUAAUCGACCCGUCUUGAAACACGGACCAAGGAGUCUAACAUGCCUGCGAGUGUUUGGGUGGAAAACCCAAGCGCGUAAUGAAAGUGAAAGUUGGGAUCCCUGUCGUGGGGAGCACCGACGCCCGGACCAGACCUUUUGUGACGGAUCCGCGGUAGAG
rnacentral:rRNA from 1 species